ACAUACGACCAUACCCACUGGAAUAUACGGGAUCCCGUCCGCUCUCCCCUAGUCAAACCAGUGAGAGAGGGAUUAGUAUUGGGAUUUUUCCAAGUUCCAAACGCCGAAAUUG
rfam:Magnaporthe poae ATCC 64411 unplaced genomic scaffold supercont1.8, whole genome shotgun sequence.